CUGGCGGCGUGCUUAACACAUGCAAGUCGAACGGAAGGCCCUGCUUUUGUGGGGUGCUCGAGUGGCGAACGGGUGAGUAACACGUGAGUAACCUGCCCUUGACUUUGGGAUAACUUCAGGAAACUGGGGCUAAUACCGGAUAGGAGCUCCUGCUGCAUGGUGGGGGUUGGAAAGUUUCGGCGGUUGGGGGUGGACUCGCGGCUUAUCAGCUUGUUGGUGGGGUAGUGGCUUACCAAGGCUUUGACGGGUAGCCGGCCUGAGAGGGUGACCGGCCACAUUGGGACUGAGAUACGGCCCAGACUCCUACGGGAGGCAGCAGUGGGGAAUAUUGCACAAUGGGCGGAAGCCUGAUGCAGCAACGCCGCGUGCGGGAUGACGGCCUUCGGGUUGUAAACCGCUUUCGCCUGUGACGAAGCGUGAGUGACGGUAAUGGGUAAAGAAGCACCGGCUAACUACGUG
rnacentral:rRNA from 1 species